rnacentral:tRNA from 1 species
GGGCCCAUAGCUCAGAUGGCAGAGCCACCGGCUCAUAACCGGUCGGUCCCUGGUUCGAAUCCAGGUGGGCCCACCA